GGGGGGGGGCGAGAAAAUUUAGGACUCCUCUCUCCACCGCCAUUUGUUGUCUGAGAAUCCUAGAGGGAGAGAGGAACCGUAGUGCGAUCCCCGCUUCAAUCCUGGGGUGCCUCCUCACCCCGAUUUAGUAGUCCGAAGGAGUGGGAGGAGUUCCCUGCAACCCGCGGGGUCAAGAAGUAAGUGCUGUGCGUCCGGAGCCGCUCGAAGUCGGAGGGCCUCACCCCAGAGGGCCUCACUCGAAUGCCCCCUGCCCAUCCCCACGCCCGGAAGCCCUGGAGCGCCUGAGCCACCUCCGGGGAACCAGCCAACUGAGGUCCCACUUCCUCCGUUGGGUAACGUUCUCUGCGGGAGCUCGGCGGUUAACCGCGCAGCCGCGCCCGCUACGCUGGCCUCGGCACCCUGAGCCUGCCGGAGGGAGAGACAGACAGUCUGGCCGCGAGGAAGGUCCACUCUGUAGCCCGCCCCCGCAUGUAGGCGCUGUCCUGCACCUCCGGAGCUCGAGGCCCAAGGAAAUGAGGGCUGCGUAGACCUGGCCGCGCACUUCUCUCAUCCACGUUCCCACUCAACGUCAGCGCUGAGACCUGUGGCACAGAGGAGCUGUUCUGAACCACCGUUUGGCAGAGAUGGAAGUUCAACUCCCCGUCUACAGAGAAGUAAACUGAGGCCCAGGCAGCGGAGGAAAGGCAGCUGUGGAGCUCAGUGGUUAAGAGCAAGGAACUGGUGGUCGGAGAACGGAACCUCAGGUCCACCAGGUAACAGCUGUGUAACCCUGGAUGAGUUCCAUAGCCUCUCUGAGGCUUAGUUUUCUUACUGACCAAAGGGGAUAGUGGAAUCCUAGCGUCCACCUCAUGGGGUCAUAAGGAUUAGACAGGAGGAUAGUGUUGGUUUAUGCGUCCAAUAAACGUUACAAUUUUGUCACUAUUCUUGUUUAAGGAUGCGUAGCAAGAUAGUGGCAAAGCCGAGCUGAAACCCAGGUCUCUCAACGUCUAGCUCGGGGCUUUACCCCCACGACCCCUCUGCCUCCCUAGAGCAAAUGGAAUGAGGAGUAAAGAAAGGAGGGGGAGAGAGAAGCUGACAAUCCAUAUGGCUUUGGUACGUUGGUAAAACGCAUCCUUGCCUGGAAAGUGCUUAAUUAUUGCAAGAUCAAAAAAAAAUCGCUGCUGAGUGGGAGGGGGUACUGAGGACCUCUAAACCCCCCACUUUGACCUCGGCUCUGACCAAGAGCCGGGCCCGGCGGAGCAGCCGCGGCCCCAGGGGGCAGCGCAUACUCCCAGGCUGCGCUCCGGGCGUCACCCCGCGGCCGCCGACAACUGAAUAAACACACCGAAGCACUGCGAUCUGUCAAGGGCUGGGGCCGCAGACGCCGAAGAGGAGUGGCUCGACCGCCAGCCGCCCCGAGGAACUGGCGCUGGGUUAGCACCUCGCGCAGGAGCUAGAGCCGGGAGCUCCGAGCGCAGGACGGGCAGCCUACCGGCUGCUCCUCUCCACCCUGAAGACUCCCAACUCUUACGUAUCUGCUUACCCCCGGCCUCCCGGCAGGCGCUUAAGCCCGUUUCCAGCCCGGUGCUGGCGGUAGAAACCCCAGCUUCAUUUCUUUAAAUUAAAAAAAAAAAAAAAAAAAAGUCAAGGAGGGACUUUUGUCGGAGUCCACCUUCCCCUUGCCCUCCACCCUGGUUUCCUCUGCUCCUUUGAAAAAAUAACCCGAUGUUUUUGAACAACCACUCGUCUACAGUUCAGACUCCGUUCUCUGACCCAGUUUGGGGUUCAGGACCGGCGAGAACCACCACCUGGGCCUUGCAAAAAUAUCCCCUCUCCCCCAGCGUGCAGUUCUUGGAAUCGCCAGAGUUACCCGUCUGUUCUGAUGCCACCGCGAGAUGAUGGUCCCCAAGCUCCCAGAGUCCCCAUUGGAAGGAUUCCGCAGCGCUGCCUCUAUUAUUAUACCGAUCUGUUUUAGAUAGUUUAGUGAACUCUCUCCAGCCUGGACUCCUGACCUGUGACCUCCCAUUAUUCAAACCAAGGCUGACACAUGUGGGCAUCUGGAGCUUUGUUCCCUCACUUCUCAGCCUCAUCUCCUAAAAUAAAGAUGCUCCAUCAGGUUCUGACAAUGUGCCAGAUGGUCAAAACUCCAUUAGCCUGAGUCCCUGAGAAGAAAGGGUGGAAGAGAAGCUUCCCAUGCCUGGUAUAUAAAUAUGGCCUUGAAAAUGUCCACAGACGUGUUGUUGUCUUGUUGAGUCUGCAGCCAGGAAGGCAGAAAUCUCUGCAGCAAAGCAGGUGUGAACGUCCCCCUAUUUCAGAGGCAGCUCUCUUUGAAGCUGGAAAAUCAAGGACGCUGGUACCUUCAAGGAAACAAGGAUAUAAUUAUCACAACCCCCAACUGGCCGGUGACCUUCCAUUCCUCAGGCCACCCUACUCCCUUCACUGGCCCCGGCCCAGGUCCUCACAGACUCAGAGCUCUGUGUCCCAGACCGCUAAGACCGAGGAACAACCCCCUCACGCACCCUUUGAAAGCAUUCUUAAUCUCUCUCUACUGCACUGCUCUUUCAGACAUAAAUCCGCCAGCCCAGGGGGCCUCUGAACCCCCCACGGAGGGAGGCCCAUUCAGGCCCAGUGGAGUCUGAACAGCUUACGGGUAGAAUUUAUGCUUCCUCUCACCUGUGCCAUCUGUCUGUGGCCCCUACUCUAGUCUGCUUUUGAAGGUUUGAAUAUGACCCCCCAGCUUUUUGCCAAGUCUGCCAUCAUCACCUCAGUCACAGAAGCAGACUUCUCAAGGCCAUUGGAAGCUAAUAACAGUGACUCUCAACUUCAUUAUUAUACUUGAAAUGUUGAAAGCAGAAGCCUAAUAAAAUGAGCUCAGAAAAAACAAACCAAGCUAUAAAUUAUCAUGUGAAAAGAGUGGCUGAAGAACUCAUCUCCUCGGAAUACCUAAGGACUGUUUCUCAGCUACAGCAACAAUCUGGUAUUUGGUUUCCUUCCCUUCACUGUGCAAAAGCCUUGGCUGUGUUCUCUUAGCACAGAUUCUUUUCUGCUUCUAUGAGUCGACUGUCCAGAAUCAGGAGUUACACAACACUCCCCACCCAACUCCUUCACACACACACACACACACACACACACACACACACACACUCCGUACCCAGCCUUGGUCCACUGAAUUGUAAUAAUUCUUUUUGACCAUAAGGAAUUUAUCCUACAUUAUCACCAAUCAGUACUCAUUGCAAUUAUUUAUUUUAAGAUAAGAGUAAAAGUCCACUUCCUUAACUUCAUAAAGACUAUUUAUGCUAAACUGAUGUAUUUAAUGAAAAAACACCAGAAGCAUUAUUCCCUGUAAAAUUAGAAGCAACUUAGGGAUGCCCCUAUCACUGUUACUAUUAUACAAUGUUUUGGAAAUUCUAGACCUUUUCAGGGGAUAUUUAGCAAUACCUGGAACCAUUUUGUCAUCACAACUUUGGAAACUGGAGUGCUAUUGGCAUCUGGUGGGUAGAGGGGAGGAAUGCUGCUAAAUAUUCUGCAAGGCCCAGGAAAGCCCCCACAACAGAGAAUUCUCCAGCCCAAAGUGUCAAUAGUGCUGAGGGUAAGGGACCUUGCUCUAUACAAUGCAACAAAACGUGAAACAUAAAUAAGAGAAAAAAGUUUAAAAAAUAACUAAUUUUUAUUAUCAUUAAUUGCAAAGAACAUGUAUCACCUAGAAAAGCAAACCAAAAAUACUGAACUAUGCAUUAUUAAAGUUCAUAAAAUAGUAAAUAAUGCAGCUGGCUAAAAAUUUUUUCAAUUCUGUGAGAGACUGAAGAGUCUUUCAUUUUCCUGCAGGUUUAUUUAUCUAUUCUACAAAAAUUUCCUGAGAACAAAAGGGUUGGUUUUAUAAAAGAACACUUAAGAGAUAUAAGAUGACUUUUACACUUUAAAACAUGGAAGAGACUAAGAAAUUUUAAAAACCAAGUCUAUUAACACUGUAAGACAAUAUUAUAGGAAACCCAAGUGGACAUAUCUUCCCAAACUAUAAGCUAGACUGGAGACUUUUUAAAAAAGAUUUGUGUAAAGUAUGAAAACAUUAUUUGGGGGUAGUAAACACACACACACACACACACACACACACACACACACAAAUACUCCUUUUAGCAGAUAAAAACUUCCUCAGUAUUUUUUAAUGAGGGUAGUACUCUAAUGCAUCAUUGGAAAUCUAAAUAGUCCAUCACAAUACAUAAUUACGGUCCAGUAGAUGAAGCUUCUUGAGGGGACAGCCCAUAUCUUAUUCAUCUUUCUAUCUCCAUAAUUGACACAUACCAAGAACCCAAUGUUUAUGAAUUAAUGAAAUAAAUAAAAACAUUAACAGUG